AUGAAGCCGGCCGACCCCAUAUCCAAGGACGCCGACAAUACUAGUUCUUCACUAGCACCCCUGGACGACGAGGAUCUCCUCCAAGAGAUCCUUCUCCGCCUCCCUCCAAAGCCAUCUGUACUCCCCCGCGCCUCCCUUGUCUGCACACGCUGGCGCAGGAUCCUCUCCGACACACAAUUCCUCAGCCGCUACCGCAAACACCACAGGAAACCUCCCUUGUUGGGCUUCUUUGCAGGAUCUACUAGUACACACCAUGACUUUGUUCCUGUUCUGGAUAAGAAGCCUGACUGCAUCCCAACCGCGCGCUUCUCCGUGCCCAAGAGCAGCAAAUCAUAUCACCACUGGGACUUCCUCGGCUGCCGCCACGGGCUCGCUAUCCUACUCAUCAAUUGGCGACGGGAGGUCAUUGUGUGGGAUCCCCUCACCGGACAGCAGCACCGCAUGUCUUCUCCUCCGGGACUUCAUGAAACCGAAGGGGAGAAAUUCUGGGUUUGGCACGCCGCCGUGCUGUGUGCUGAUGAUGAGGAUGGACAUGUGCACGGCGAUUGCUUCUCUAGCCCGUUUAAAUUGGUUUUGGUGUGCAGCGGACGCACGCAGGCUUCCGCUUGCCUCUAUGAAUCGUUGUCUGGUGUAUGGAGAAAUAUUGUCUUGACGACGACCACAGAAGCGAUUCUUCAAUUCAGGCCAAGCAUCCUCAUCGGAAAUGCACUUUUCUGGUUGUUAAGUGCAGGUGGGGUCCUUGCAUUUGAUAUUGACAGGCCGAGUCUUGGUGAGAUCGAGAAACCGGUGGACGCUCAUCAUACCGACUGCUUUUCCUUUCAGCUCUUACGGACAGAUGAUAGUGGCCUUGGCUUUGCAGUUCUUUCAAAACUGAGUAUCCAUAUAUGGGAGAAGAAAUUGAACUCUGAUGCUAUCCAAUGGGUGCCGCUGCAGAAAAUCUUUCCACGGGGAAUGCGUAGCGACCUCAAAGAGGUGGAGAUGGGCCGCCAGAUUCUCAGGUACGGCCCUGAUAAAGAGGACUCAAAUAUGAUUGUUCUGUCUACAUAUAUUGGCGAUUUCAUGCUCCAACAUGAGUCGAUGCGAUUCGAAAUAUUUUCUAAAAGAAAUUGCACUUGGAACAGGAUACAUCAUCCCUAUAGAAAUUUCUAUACUGCAGGUAAUACCUCGUGUAUAACAAGAUUCAUUCCACCUACUAUUGGUUUGUGUUUGCUGUAA
rnacentral:rRNA from 1 species